UGGACCAAUGAUGUAACUGUUGGUGGAUGAGUCCUGGAUGAUGAAUAAUGAGUGUGGAACACUGAGGCCAA
rnacentral:snoRNA from 1 species